rnacentral:rRNA from 1 species
AGCGAACGUUAGCGGCGGGCCUAACACAUGCAAGUCGAACGCGAAAGGGAUUCGUCCCCGGUAGCGUGGCGUCCGGGUGAGUAACACGUAGGAAACCUUCCCUAGAGAGUGGGAUAACGUUCCGAAAGGGACGCUAAUACCGCAUAAGCCCACGACCGCUUCGGCGGAUGAGGGAAAAGAUGGCCUCUGUAUACAAACUAUCACUUUGGGAUGGUCCUGCGGCGCAUCAGCUAGUUGGUAGGGUAAUGGCCUACCAAGGCGAAGACGCGUAGCUGGUCUGAGAGGAUGAUCAGCCACACUGGCACUGAAACACGGGCCAGACUCCUACGGGAGGCAGCAGUGGGGAAUAUUGGACAAUGGGCGCAAGCCUGAUCCAGCCACGCCGCGUGAGUGAUGAAGGCCUUCGGGUUGUAAAGCUCUGUGGGGAGAGGCGAAAACAGUCAUCAAGAAACGGAUGAUUCUUGACGGUAUCUCCUUAGCAAGCACCGGCUAACUCUGUGCCAGCCGCCGCCGUAACAC